GAUGAACGCUGGCGGCGUGCCUAAUACAUGCAAGUCGAGCGAACAGACGAGAAGCUUGCUUCUCUGACGUUAGCGGCGGACGGGUGAGUAACACGUGGAUAACCUACCUAUAAGACUGGGAUAACUUCGGGAAACCGGAGCUAAUACCGGAUAAUAUUUUGAACCGCAUGGUUCAAUAGUGAAAGACGGUUUUGCUGUCACUUAUAGAUGGAUCCGCGCUGCAUUAGCUAGUUGGUAAGGUAACGGCUUACCAAGGCAACGAUGCGUAGCCGACCUGAGAGGGUGAUCGGCCACACUGGAACUGGGACACGGUCCAGACUCCUAAGGGAGGCAGCAGUAGGGAAUCUUCCGCAAUGGGCGAAAGCCUGACGGAGCAACGCCGCGUGAGUGAUGAAGGUCUUCGGAUCGUAAAACUCUGUUAUUAGGGAAGAACAAAUGUGUAAGUAACUGUGCACGUCUUGACGGUACCUAAUCAGAAAGCCACGGCUAACUACGUG
rnacentral:rRNA from 1 species